UACGGAGGGUGCAAACGUUGCUCGGAAUCAUUGGGCGUAAAGCGCACGUAGGCGGUUUGUUAAGUCGGGUGUGAAAGCCCUCGGCUCAACCGAGGAAGUGCACUCGAAACUGGCAAGCUUGAGUAUGGAAGAGGGUCGCGGAAUUCCCGGUGUAGAGGUGAAAUUCGUAGAUAUCGGGAGGAACACCAGUGGCGAAGGCGGCGACCUGGGCCAAUACUGACGCUGAGGUGCGAAAGCGUGGGGAG
rnacentral:rRNA from 1 species